UUGCCUCCUAUACUACAAUGAUCAUUUGUGCCUCGGUAAGAAUGGUAUCUACAAUGGCCCUCCCAAAAAAUGUCUUUUGAAAAGUCUCUUUUGUCUAUACACACUCACGCAAGAUCCAUACUAUGACGACAUACACGAAACCCAUCAACAACAUGAGUUGCUCUAGCCUGUUCCUCCUCUAAUAUCUCCUGAUGAAUUGGCCUAGGUGGCUCUCCCUCUACAUCCAAUGUCAUAUAAGGAUGUGACACUCUGAAAUACCACUAAAUGUAGUCAUAAGCACAGUUUCAUUCUCUAGGAGCUACGACGCCUCAAGCAUCAUCCAGUACCAGAUGAUUAUGAAAAUCAC
rnacentral:lncRNA from 1 species